CCUCAAGUAGUUAGUGUUAGAAAAAUGAAGACAUGACGUAGAAAUUACCUAAAACUUCCGGGUAAAUUAGUAUUUAAAUAUCUCGAGCUGCGGAAAAUUCAUAAUAAGCAAAUUAUCACCACAGGAAAAAGACUUCACUUACAUCUCGGGAUGAGUAAAAUGCCUGUCACACCACUUUUAUUAUUGGUACUUGUGUUGGCCACGGCAAUAGGGAAAGUGGCGCCAUGUGAUCCUCCUUCUGGAAGGACAAACGGUUGCAGCCCUUCGUUGUUACCUUACCCCUUUAAAAUCUUUUUCAAGCCAGAGUGUAACAAGCAUGAUGCCUGCUAUGCCUGUGGCGUGCGCUAUGGGAAGUCCAGACUAAAUUGUGAUGACACAUUUUUAACGAACCUCCAGCAGCGCUGCAGAGCAGAGCGAGCAUUUUCGGACAACAAAAGAGAAAGAUGUCUUAACUGGGCUGAACGAAUGUAUAAUGCUGUUCGUAGACAUGGCGAAAGUCACUAUGAAAACCCAUCGCUAAGCUGGUGCGAUGAGACAUGGGUUCAUAGUUGCAUAUAUUAAGACGUUGCAUGUACGGCUUCACUACCCUCUGCCACUACCUUGCUUUAUGUUUAAGAAAAAUGUUCUUUUUGAAGACGAGCAUUUAUUUGACAACUAUACGAUACCAUAAUCACAAACAUUUUUAUUAUAGAAUAUUAUCGAGGCCACGAUAAGUUCAAAACAUUUUUGCAAACCAGAACAUUGACAUUACUGAAUUUAUGAAUGCCAGAAACUUGUGUUGCACAUUUAAUAUAUAUAAUUUUUUUCACUAAUUUGUUUUGAUAAUAAUAGAACUUAAAUAAAUGUUCUACUCAAAGUAUGUAAUAAAACGGUAUCAAUUUUUACUCUUUGUAGAUAAUCAGGUUUAUGUAGCCUUGAGGCUGUAUCAUAUAAAGAAUGACCACUGGUGUUAGAAUGUCAUAUCUGUACGACUGAAAAGUCACGUUUCCACCGGCACCGCUCAAAGAAAGUGUUUGUAAUAGAAUAGUAUUUCAAUUAUUACUACUUAUAUAAGUCAGUUCUAUGUAGCCUAAGGACUGCAUCAUAUAUAGAAAGACCAAGGUAUUAGUAUGUCAUAUCUGUACAACUGAACAUUCACGUUUCCGCCGACAAAAUUGAGGACUGUUCUUAUAUUGUAACUUAUUUAAUCCGAAACCAUAAUGAGCCACGUAGGAAUUUUAGCCUAGGGUCGUGUUCUUAAAGAAUCUUAAGUAUAAUUAUAAGAAAUUGUGUUGUUUUUUUAAGUAUUACGUAGGUAAGAAAUAUCUUUUACUUGAUUAUAUUUGUUAUUCUGAAAAGAACUCAAGAAAUUCUUAGCUGUGAAAAAACUUGAGUAUGUAAGAAAUUCUUAAGUAAAAAUAUUUCAUUCAAUAUCAUUUUUGUAAUAUCUAAAGCUUGAAAACAAGGAUAUCCCAUAUAUAAAUAUAGCAACGGAAAUACUUGACUAUCUUUAUUUACUAACAGAAGGAGGUCUUCUGUAAAAAAAAAUAGAACGCUGCAUUUAUAUUCGCAUUGCGUACAUUCUGUAGCCCAUGAGAGACAUCAAGUUAGGUUUGCAGGUUACAACAUGCGACUGUGUGCUUUACAUUUAGCCUUUCACUGUUAUUGCGUGUCUGACUCCCAUAUUGGAGAUCUGGACUUUAUUUUUCACAGUAUUUCAGUGAUAAAUGUCUUUUUCUAUCAAAGAAAAAAUUAUAAUUUUAGAAUUUGGUUUUUGCAUGUUGCUUGGAAUAAAUAUAAAGAGUAUAAUUGA